rnacentral:rRNA from 1 species
CAGCCGCCGCGGUAAUACAGAGGGUGCAAGCGUUAAUCGGAAUUACUGGGCGUAAAGCGCGCGUAGGUGGUUUGUUAAGUUGGAUGUGAAAGCCCCGGGCUCAACCUGGGAACUGCAUCCAAAACUGGCAAGCUAGAGUACGGUAGAGGGUGGUGGAAUUUCCUGUGUAGCGGUGAAAUGCGUAGAUAUAGGAAGGAACACCAGUGGCGAAGGCGACCACCUGGACUGAUACUGACACUGAGGUGCGAAAGCGUGGGGAGCAAACAGGAUUAGAUACCCCGGUAGUCCCUGUCUCUUAUAC